AUUGAACGCUGGCGGCAGGCCUAACACAUGCAAGUCGAGCGGAUGAAGGGAGCUUGCUCCUGGAUUCAGCGGCGGACGGGUGAGUAAUGCCUAGGAAUCUGCCUGGUAGUGGGGGAUAACGUCCGGAAACGGGCGCUAAUACCGCAUACGUCCUGAGGGAGCAAGUGGGGGAUCUUCGGACCUCACGCUAUCAGAUGAGCCUAGGUCGGAUUAGCUAGUUGGUGGGGUAAAGGCCUACCAAGGCGAAGAUCCGUAACUGGUCUGAGAGGAUGAUCAGUCACACUGGAACUGAGACACGGACCAGACUCCUACGGGAGGCAGCAGUGGGGAAUAUUGGACAAUGGGCGAAAGCCUGAUCCAGCCAUACCGCGUGUGUGAAGAAGGUCUUCGGAUUGUAAAGCACUUUAAGUUGGGAGGAAGGGCAGUAAGUUAAUACCUUGCUGUUUUGACGUUACCAACAGAAUAAGCACCGGCUAACUUCGUG
rnacentral:rRNA from 1 species